AAUACCAAUACGAAAGGCUUAUGACCACAUUACGUACGAUCACCGAUGUUAAGCAACAUGAAGCGUGGUCAGUACUUAGAUGGGUGACCACUUGCGAAUUCCAGGUGAUGCAAG